rnacentral:rRNA from 1 species
GAGUGGCGCACGGGUGAGUAACGCGUGGAUAUCUGCCUUUUGGUUCGGAAUAACUCCGGGAAACUGGAGCUAAUACCGGAUGGUUCCUUCGGGAUAAAGAUUUAUCGCCAAAAGAUGAGUCCGCGUACGAUUAGCUAGUUGGUGAGGUAAUGGCUCACCAAGGCGACGAUCGUUAGCUGGUCUGAGAGGACGAUCAGCCACACUGGGACUGAGACACGGCCCAGACUCCUACGGGAGGCAGCAGUGGGGAAUAUUGGACAAUGGGGGCAACCCUGAUCCAGCCAUGCCGCGUGAGUGAUGAAGGCCUUCGGGUUGUAAAGCUCUUUUGGCGGGGACGAUGAUGACGGUACCCGCAGAAUAAGCCCCGGCUAACUUCGUGCCAGCAGCCGCGGUAAGACGAAGGGGGCUAGCGUUGUUCGGAAUUACUGGGCGUAAAGCGAGUGUAGGUGGUUGUUCAAGUUGGAUGUGAAAGCCUUGAGCUCAACUCAAGAAAUGCAUUCAGGACUGGGCGACUAGAGGACCGGAGAGGAUAGUGGAAUUCCCAGUGUAGUGGUGA